GUGGGGAAUAUUGGACAAUGGGCGCAAGCCUGAUCCAGCCAUGCCGCGUGAGUGAUGAAGGCCUUAGGGUUGUAAAGCUCUUUCAGUAGGGAAGAUAAUGACGGUACCUACAGAAGAAGCCCCGGCUAACUUCGUGCCAGCAGCCGCGGUAAUACGAAGGGGGCUAGCGUUGUUCGGAUUUACUGGGCGUAAAGUGCACGUAGGCGGAUUGGUCAGUUAGAGGUGAAAUCCCGAAGCUCAACUUCGGAACUGCCUUUAAUACUGCCAGUCUCGAGUCCGGAAGAGGUGAGUGGAACUCCUAGUGUAGAGGUGGAAUUCGUAGAUAUUAGGAAGAACACCAGUGGCGAAGGCGGCUCACUGGUCCGGUACUGACGCUGAGGUGCGAAAGCGUGGGGAGCAAACAGGAUUAGAUACCCGAGUAGUCC
rnacentral:rRNA from 1 species